rnacentral:rRNA from 1 species
AGACGUCUACAUUAGAUACCCCCGGUAGUCCCAGCCGUAAACUAUGCGCGUUAGGUGUAUCGGUGACCACGAGUCACCGAGGUGCCGAACGGGAAACCGUAGAAACGUAGCCACCUGGAAGUACAGUCGCAAGGCUGAAACUUAAAGGAAUUGGCGGGGAGCACCACAACGGGUGGAGCCUGCGGUUUAAUUGGACUCAACGCCGGGAAGCUCACCGGAUAAGGCAGCGGAAUGAUUGCCGGGCUGAAGACUCUGCAUGACUAGCUG